rnacentral:tRNA from 1 species
GCCGGGGUGCCCGAGUGGUCAAGGGGGUGGGCUCGAGACCUAAUUUCCAGCUGGGAGAGGGACCCACUGCUCUUCAAGAGCGCGCGGGUUCGAAUCCCGCCCCCGGCG